rnacentral:lncRNA from 1 species
UUUAGAAUCGCUUCAAUUGGAUAUAGAAAUGAAAGAUAUGAUAAAAAAUACUGACAUGUGCUUAGAGAAAAAAACAUGUACGCGUUAAAGUAACUUUUCUUAUUCAAUUGGAACUCUUUUUGGUUUCAACUUUGGACGACUUUUUAGCCAUAUUUCAAGAUCUAUAAAUAAAAAAGAAUAGAAUACAUUUAAGGAACCUCUCAUAUACCAUUAUCCAUCAAUUGUAUCAAUUAAAGAGAUGCAAAUUCAUUGAUCUUGUGAGAAAAAUUCAAGGCAAUUUCAAGAUUUCGUCAAAUUGAAAAUUCAACCUUGAUUUUUGGGCAAACAGCAAGAAGAUAUAUCGGAGAUUCAUCAAGAAACCAUUGAAGAUGUUCAAAAUUUCAAAAUUCAUCAGUUUCAAAUUCGGGUUAUAUUCUUCCAAUUGAACAUGUAUUCAUGUGAUUUCUUGAUGCUAGGCUAGGGUUUCUAUUACUAAGGCAUUGAUGAAUCCUUGUUAUGAUGUUUUGAUAUAAAUUUGAUAAUUUUGAACUCCCAAUAUAUGUUUAUUCUUGGAUGAUUGUUAUAUAAUUU